GAUAAAAAAAAUCCGUACAGUGACGAAAGCUGGAAAGCAGCCAAGGUAAAAGACUGCACGGACGUAUAACAGUUCCUCAAGAGGAUUAACGGUGCCCUCCUAACAUAUUGGGUCAUUUGGGGCACAGCAAGACCUCUCUUGACCCUCGGAACCCCUGCUUAGUGUUUGAGGCGACCUUUGUUCUGGUCCGGUGUGGUAGGUCAGCAGGGUAAGCCGAGAGACCACUAAGUCAUGUGGUCCACAGCGGGUGGCUGCUUCCCGACCAGCCACAUCAUUUCCCGGGGGUGAGUGCAUAUGAUGCAGAUUACAUGCCCACGCUUAUUAGCUUAUGCCGUGGUAAGGAAUAACAUCUGUAUAUAAUGCACAAAAUAAAAAUAAACCAAUAUGUUCAUAAAAUGUCAUAAUAAGAACAAAACCAUCUAGCGGCCUUUCAACCGUUGGAGGUGAUGAGUGCGUAGGCCUAUGCCGACAGACCUAAAAAUAAUCCAUCAACAUCCCGUUUGAGGCACAACCUAAACAGUGGUUUGGCAGCCCGGCCCUCGCUGCCUGGAGCGCCUCCACCUUCCUUGGAUAGACGCUCCCUGUCAGCCUUCCUCGUCCCGGACCUGAGCCUGGCCACUCUCAACCCAAACACGCUGUCUUCCAUAGUCAAUGUUCUGGUGAUCGUCAUUUAUCACCUCAGUGAACUGCCUUCACGCCUCCUCUGCACUGUUUCGGUUCCUUCACCGAGGCGUCUAGUCAAACCCUUCUCCCUUCCACCCACCAGGACCGCCCACGUGCACCGCCUGCCCGUUCAGUGCACUGACCCCUGGCUGGCCAACACACUGCUGCAUGGCCGCGUUUACAAUGCACAACCUACCAACACCAACAUCACCACCACCUCCACCACCACCACCACUACCACCACACUAAUAUCUCUGGUUCAACAAUUGUCCCCAAAGAUACAACCAUCAUCACAGUGAUCAUAUUCACAGUCAUUAUUAUUCAAAACAUCACUACUACAUCACUACUCCAUUAAUUACCACAAUUACAACAACUACCAUAAUGAUCAUUACAGUCACCGCCACCACAACCACUAAAAUAUCACAGCGCAUUCACGACCACUGAACCACCACUAUAGAACACCACAAGCUUGCCACUCUCACCUUGAGAAUAUUGCCUUAAGAUUUAUUUGUAAUUUUUUUUUUUUCGGCGGUUCAACUUUUCCCUUAGGAAUCAGGACACUUCCCAUCUAUUAAGACGAGGCUGGGUGGUAGUGGCAGUAGUGGUGGUGGUGGCAGUGGGGGUGGUACGGUUCAUGCUGGUGUGCUGUCGAAAUAAGAUCUAUUCUAUCAAAGCAAUUCAGGCGAUAGAACUCGCCUGUUUUUGGUCAAGAAUAGGUACGUACUCCUGACACAACGCUUCUGCCAGUAUUUCCAUCGCUGACACAUUAACCAAACUGUAGACAGACUGCAGCAUGCUGGCCUGUGCGGCAAACCGGUGUUUACAACGCCUUACCGCAGCCGGGCAAGACCCUGGUCCGGCCCUGCUAAAUAACCCCCUGCUCUCCGCUACUACCGACUAAUCCUCAUCUUUACGCAGCAAGUCAUCAGGUGAAUUUUUACCGAGGCGAUAAUUUCUCGCUCCCCCCGCAGCUCCUGAUACUCGCCCGCUGGAACAACACCCUCCGGAUCCCUCUUAAAUGUUCCUUCCUUGAAAACUGUAAAGAUCGCGACUUCAGUUUAUCAGUGGUGUCUACAUCUCCGAUACUUCCAUGGGAGCCAUAGUUACGAGGGGACACGAGCAGCCACAGCCACGAGGGGACAUGAAGAGUCACAUUCACGAGGGGACUCGAGGAGCCACCGCCAUGAAGGGAGAUGAGCCAUUACUAUGAGGGGACACGAGGAGCCACAGUCACGCCACAUAAGGGAACCGAAAUAAUCCAGAAUGAGACACUGACGCGAGAGACUGGGGCGAUACAGAAAGACUUGGAAUGAGCCACUGACUCAAGGAAGCGGAAGAGUCCGGAAGAGUCAGGAAUGAGCCACAGACAUGAAGACCCGGAAUAAGCCACAGCCACAAACCAUAAACAAUACUAGACAUGCUCUGUAGGUUGUUGUUGUUGUUGUUUUUAUCUUCUUCAUCUUCUUCUUCCAUGGAAUCCCCUUAAUUCUGUUGGUACGUGGGGAGACUCCCGAUGGCAUCAACUAGCGGGAGCGUCGGGUAAUUAUCUCUGACCCCGGACUAAAGGUCACCGGGGUGUGGAGGAGCCCACGGGAGGGGAAAGCUGCCACGGAUAUGUUGAUUCACUGUUGUUUCUUAUACUGAAUUUUCGGAGUUGCUCAAAUAAAAAACAACUUAAAGUGCAGUGGUGUUCUUCCCCUUCUCCCCAUGUAGCGGUCUGCCUCUCCAUUUCCUUCCUCCUGGUGUAACUGGUUCGUGGGUGUACAGUACCCGCAGCCCGCCUCGAUAAUGUAGAGACUUGAUUAAUUCCUCGCUCGCUAAUGAACUGCCGAGAGGAUCGCUCGGCGGGGAUACGAUCUGACAAGGACAUGACAUGAUCGAGAUAAGAAGUGAUCACGACAUCAACUGAUCCAAAUUUUUCUUUUCACUUCAGUACAUAUCUAUCGACUUUCUGAUCACCAUUUCCUAACAAAUAUCUAUCUAUCUCACUAUUUCUUCUUAUUAGCUUUUUUUUUUUUCUACCGUUCUCAGUACUAGGAAGUAGUGACGCUUCCACGACACAAGAUUCCCCUUGUUGAAGAACUUCGCAGUCUCACUCCUCGCUGCUUUCUUUCCUACAGAUUUUUUCUUCCCCGAACGAUUUGCAUCUCCUUAAAAGGCUUAAACAGAAAGAAAAAAUAAGGAGGCAGAAGAAGAAAAUAGGAGAACGACGAUGAUAAAGCUGACGACAGCAAUACGGUGUUGCAUUGCACGUGUAAGGCAUACAUAGCAACUAAUGUUAUGCAGUGCUGAGUAUCCUUUCCUGCCCUCUGACCCAACAAUAUAGCGGACAAAGUAACUCUCCUUCCUCAACGCCUCUUUUCCUUCCACUCACAUAAUAGCACUGUCUAGCAUCACCUCGCGGCCCGACGAUGAAGCCAUUAGCUUAUCGGUAUUUUUUAUCUAUGCUGAGCUUAUCAUGACACCUUCCUUGACGAGCGUAAGAGGGGGAUGCUCUUGAUAAGCGCCGGGGUCGAGGUAAUAGGGCACGCAGGAAGGCUGCGGCGAGGGCCACAAUAAUGACAAGUAAUGCUAUCGUGAAACUAAUAGCAAGUUCAGGUGAGGGAGGGCACGCAUUUUCACACCUAGACGAUUUAAUUACAGGUAAUGGGAUAAGUAAUGGGGCAUGAUCGGCGACAGCCUCGGGCACGUAAUAGUACCCUACCCUCUUGUGCCCUUCCAUGGCUCUCUCUUCCUCCUUCCUCUCCUGAGGCCUCGCCUCAGCCAUCUUCACGCCUCGCGCUCUGUCAUCCGAGUAUGAUAAGUGAGGAGACACAUGAAUAACUAUUUUACCUUUACGGAUGUUUACUAAUUACCUGGCAAAUGUUUGAUUAUAUCAAGUAAAUAAUCCGUAAAAAGACAUCUCGCCUUAAUGAACAUGAAUGUGAGGACUAGUCCCUCUAUGGGAGACCUGUUUGGACACACAACGAAUACUUCCUUGUACUGUAGCAAUGAUCUAAGGGCGCCGCAAGGUGUGCCACGAAGUUACAAAGUGACGAUGAUUCCCACUCACCGCCUGAACCACUGGGGUCCACUGAAGCCAUCGACUACUGCUUAUUAUUUACAGGGACUGCCACGUGUAGGCCUGACGGUUUCUUGCAGCUUCCCUCAUUACAUUAUGUUCUUAUGUUCUUAUUUCAAGCCCUACUGUCGUUCCUGCCCAUGCCAUCCUCUCCAUAACCAGGUACUAGUAGAACACCACCAAGAAUACCAUUGUAGGCAUGAAAACCUUCCAAUACCUUACUAUUCCAUGUAUUUACAUUACCAGCACCUUUUGUUAUAUACCCACGCAGCCUCAUAUCAACAAUUAGCGUAUCCCGUCCCAUCCCUCCUCAUCCACCUCCCCUUGUGACCCAGACCGCCAAGACACGCCGCGCCCCUGAACGUGUCCCUUUGAAUGGUUUGGUCUGACUGAGUUUAUUGACAAAAUGCCGAGUAUGUCCGCCCCGCCAGCAAACAGUAGGACGUAGCCUUGACGAGCUGUGGUGUGAGGGAUCUUAUGCUUAGUGGUGGGAGGAAGGUGUGUGGUGGAGGAGGAGGAGGAGCAGGAGCAGCAGGAGGGGAGAGACGUGUGGCGCUGGUGGAGAAGAAGGAGCAGGAGCAGGAGGGGGAAUGGUGGUAAGGAGGGAGAGGUGAUGGAGUGAGAAAGAAAGAAAAAAAUGAAGGAAGGAAGGAAGGAAGGAAGAUAGAUAGAUAGAAAGAGGUAAAUAAAGAAAAAAGAUGAAAGAAACAGAAUGAAUGAAAGAAAGAAGGAAAGAAAGAAAAGAGAAAAGGAAAGAAAGAAAAGAGAAAAGAAAGAAAGAAAGAAAGAAAGAAAGAAAGCUUAAUGACAAGGGACGAUAAAUUAAGACUCUGGAAAAGGAUGAAAAUUAAGAAGAAAAAGAAACAUCCAUAGGGAAACCUGAACAAGGAAAAGGUGAACAGAUACAAAAAAAAAAAAAAACAAGAGAAGGAAAUACGAAUCAAACACAAAGAGAACCAGAAAGAAGGAAGAGGAAAAUCGUCGAGACGUGAGCAAAAUCAUUAAUAAGUUUUCAUCUGCGUGUAUAAUAUGAAAUAUGAAAAUAACAAAAAGUUUAGGGAGCAUAAUAUGAACAAGCAUGAUGAGGGUUGAUGAAAGGGAAAA